rnacentral:lncRNA from 1 species
GCUGCAAUCCCAGCCGCCACAGCUACAGCGGUGAGAGCAGGCCGGAUCCCAGAUCUGCAGGCGGGUGAGCAGGUGGAGCCCAGCGAAGAGAUGUUCCUGCUGCAGGCAAUUAUGCAAAGUGAGAAGUGAUUGCUUUCCUUUUCAAAGACAACCCCUUUGGAAAAAGCUUUUUCCUCCAGGACCCUAGGGAAAUGGGGGUUGAUGGGAACUUCA